AAGUCGUAACAAGGUUUCCGUAGGUGAACCUGCGGAAGGAUCAUUAACACUUUUUCCAAAAAACUCCUUUUUCUUUUGGCUCAAACCAAAGAUUUAGGUUUUAACCCCAAUUUAUUGCGAACGAUGAUUUUCCAAAAUCAUUUUUCUCUUCUUUAUCCUCUUUUUAUUUUUACCCCAAAUUUUAACAAAAUCAAAGCCUGAUAUAAAAUCGUUUCUCUUUUGAAAAAAAAAAGAGGUAACGACCGAAACCUAAUGGUUAAAACAACUCUUAGCAACGGAUAUCUUGGCUCUC
rnacentral:misc_RNA from 1 species